UACGUAGGUGACAAGCGUUGUCCGGAUUUACUGGGCGUAAAGAGCGCGCAGGCGGUCGUUCAAGUCGAGUGUGAAAGCCCCCCGCUCAACAGGAGAGGGUGGCUGGAAACUGGCAGGCUUGAGGGCGAGAGAGGAGGGUGGAAUUCCUGGUGUAGCGGUGAAAUGCGUAGAGAUCAGGAGGAACACCCGUGGCGAAGGCGGCCCUCUGGCUCGACCCUGACGCUGAGAGGCGAAAGCGUGGGGAGCGAACGGG
rnacentral:rRNA from 1 species